UUUAUAGAGAGUUUGAUCCUGGCUCAGGGUGAACGCUGGCGGCGUGUUUUAGGCAUGCAAGUCGUACAUUCUUCGUGAGUGUGGCAGACGGGUGAGUAACGCAUUGGUAAUCCAACUUGAGGUUUGGCAUAACCCUUCGAAAGGGGGGAUAAUUCCAAAUGGUCAUGGGGGGUCUAAAGACUUCCCAUGUAAAGCUUCGGCGCCUCGAGAGGAGCCUGUGUCCCAUCAGCUUGUUGGUAGGGUAAUGGCCUACCAAGGCUAUGACGGGUAACUGGUCUGAGAGGAUGAUCAGUCACAUCGGAACUGAGACACUGUCCGAACUCCUACGGGAGGCUGCAGUCAAGAAUCUUCCGCAAUGGGGGAAACCCUGACGGAGCGACGCCGCGUGACCGAUGAAGCCCUUCGGGGUGUAAAGGUCUUUUAAUAGGGAAAAAGUCUAGCCCUUUCUGUCUUUUAUCAACUUUUUGUGUACAGUAAAUAGGACAUAAAAAGUGAAGAUAGAAAGUGCACAGUCUUUUGGGCUAGAAGCCAGAAAGGGCUAGAUUGAUGGUACCUAUUGAAUAAGCCACGGCUAAUCUCGUGCCAGCAGCCGCGGUAAUACGAGAGUGGCAAGCGUUACCCGGAAUCAUUGGGCGUAAAGGGUCCGUAGGUGGUUUGAACAGUCGGUUGUUAAAUCUUAGGGCUCAACCUUAAGGCCGUAACCGAAACUAUCAGACUAGAGAUAAGGAGAGGCGAGUGGAAUUCUCGGUGUAGCAGUAAAAUGCGUUAAUAUCGAGAGGAACACCAAAGGCGAAGGCAGCUCGCUAGCCUUAUUCUGACACUCAUGGACGAAAGCGUGGGGAGCGAAUGGGAUUAGAUACCCCAGUAGUCCACGCCGUAAACGCUGGAUACUAGGCACAAGAGGAGUCGACCCCUUUUGUGUCAAAGCUAACGCGUUAAGUAUCCCGCCUGGGGAGUACGGUCGCAAGACUAAAACUCAAAGGAAUAGACGGGGACCCGCACAAGCGGUGGAGCAUGUGGUUUAAUUCGUCAUUAAGCGAAGAACCUUACCGAGGUUUGAAGCCAAAGGAAUCCGCCUGAAAGGGAUGGAGUGCCGCAAGGAGCCUUUGGAUCAGGUGCUGCAUGGCCGUCGUCAGCUCGUGCCGUGAGGUGUACGGUUAAGUCCGGUAACGAGCGCAACCCUUAUUCUGUGUUACAAUUUCACACAGAAGACUGCCGGCGUAUAGUCGGAGGAAGGUGGGGAUGACGUCAGGUCAGCAUGGCCCUUUGACACCUCGGGCCACACACGUGCUACAAUGGCUAGUAACAAUGAGUCGCGAAACCGUAAGGUGAAGCUAAUCUCAUCAAACCUAGUCUCAGUUCGGAUUGAGGGCUGCAACUCGCCCUCAUGAAGUCGGAAUCGCUAGUAACCGUGGGUCAGCCAUACCACGGUGAAUACGUUCUCGGGUCUUGUACUCACCGCCCGUCACGUCAAGCGAGUUGGUAACACCCGAAACUCCCUUAGGGGAACUAAGGUGGGACCAGCGAGAGGGGCGAAGUCGUAACAAGGCACCGGUAGGGGAACCUGUCGGUGGAUCACCUCCUUU
rnacentral:rRNA from 1 species